rnacentral:tRNA from 1 species
GGGCACUUAGCUCAGUGGUAGAGCGCGCGCUUCGCAAUUGCUGGGAUUGCGCGAGGCCGGGAGUUCAAUCCUCCCAGUGUCCA